rnacentral:rRNA from 1 species
GAUGAACGCUAGCGGCAGGCCUAAUACAUGCAAGUCGAACGGUGUCUUCGGACAUAGUGGCGCACGGGUGCGUAACACGUAUGCAACCUACCUUACAUUGGGGGAUAGCCUUUCGAAAGGGAGAUUAAUACCGCAUAAGACAGUAGCUGGGCAUCCAGCAGCUGUUAAAGAUUUAUCGAUGUAAGCUGGGCAUGCGUCCAAUUAGCUAGUUGGUGAGGUAACGGCUCACCAAGGCAAUGAUUGGUAGGGGAACUGAGAGGUCAAUCCCCCACACUGGCACUGAGAUACGGGCCAGACUCCUACGGGAGGCAGCAGUAGGGAAUAUUGGGCAAUGGACGCAAGUCUGACCCAGCCAUGCCGCGUGCAGGAUGAAGGCGUUAUGCGUUGUAAACUGCUUUUAUACAGGAAGAAACGACUCUUGCGAGAGGCAUUGACGGUACUGUAUGAAUAAGCACCGGCUAACUCCGUGCCAGCCGCAGCCGCGGUAA